rfam:Candidatus Roizmanbacteria bacterium RIFCSPLOWO2_01_FTLL_37_12 rifcsplowo2_01_scaffold_21000, whole genome shotgun sequence.
GGGGGUGAAAGGAAUCGACGGAAAGCAUGCACUUUUAAAAAUCGGUAGAGCGUACCUAUGCGUCAAAUGGAAAAACUUAUUUGCUAAAGAUAACUCUUUAACAGCAGAAGAGGAAGCUUAUUUAGCUAGUGGAGCAAGGUUUAACCAUAACUUUGCCUUCGCUUCCUAAUAGCGGAGUCAACUGCCUCUGAUUAAGUUUCCCUUAGUUCAACUUAAUUAAGAGAUAAACCAAUUAAGGUAAGGUUUUUAGAUAUUUUCGGUUAGUCUAAAAACCGAUAAAUAUAACCGGCUUCCCGAUAAGUUUUGCUUAUUUUCUAGUCGGGAUCGAGACAAAAAUAUUUUAUCUCUACCUAAAGAUUUUUAGAAUGGCCCUUCCGGACCCGAGUUCAACUCUCGGCACCUCCACCA